rnacentral:rRNA from 1 species
GUGAGGAAUAUUGGUCAAUGGGCGCAAGCCUGAACCAGCCAUGCCGCGUGCAGGAAGAAGCAUCUAUGGUGUGUAAACUGCUUUUAUACAGGAAGAAACAUCCCCACGUGUGGGGACUUGACGGUACUGUAGGAAUAAGGAUCGGCUAACUCCGUGCCAGCAGCCGCGGUAAUACGGAGGAUCCAAGCGUUAUCCGGAAUCAUUGGGUUUAAAGGGUCCGUAGGCGGUCUUAUAAGUCAGUGGUGAAAGCCCAUCGCUCAACGAUGGAACUGCCAUUGAUACUGUAAGACUUGAAUUUUUGUGAAGUAACUAGAAUAUGUAGUGUAGCGGUGAAAUGCUUAGAUAUUACAUGGAAUACCAAUUGCGAAGGCAGGUUACUAACAAACGAUUGACGCUGAUGGACGAAAGCGUGGGGAGCGAACAGGAUUAGAAACCCGUGUAGUCC